rnacentral:rRNA from 1 species
UACAUGGGGUGCAAACGUUGCUCGGAAUUAUUGGGCGUAAAGCGCACGUAGGCGGUUCGUUAAGUCGGAUGUGAAAGCCCUCGGCUCAACUGAGGAAGUGCACCCGAAACUGGCGAGCUUGAGUAUGAAAGAGGAUCGCGGAAUUCCCGGUGUAGAGGUGAAAUUCGUAGAUAUCGGGAGGAACACCGGCGGCGAAGGCGGCGAUCUGGGUCGAUACUGACGCUGAGGUGCGAAAGCGUGGGGAGCAAACAGG